GAAAAAUUACCCAGGCAUAUGUUUUGUAAAUAAAAAGCUUUAAUUUAAAACAAGGAUCAUAGAUAAUAUUGUGUUUGAUAUUCCCACUAUUUCUGUCACCAGGCACACAGUCAGUGCCCAAUGAUUGAGGGACGCUCACCGCUGACUCCAUCUCUGUGCCGGGCUGCAGACGCUCCUCCGGAGUUAGAGAUUCUGAGAGCUGUUAUAGCGGCGGCGCAGUGACGGACACGUCUCCCACGCACAUACACAGACACGCGGCCUCCGCUUCCGCACACGUGACAGGAGAAGCUGGGCAGGGGGCGGCCCCCGAGCAUCCCCUCCAGCUGCGGACCUCACCUAGAUCGCGGCCACAAUGCGCGUAGCGGACUGAAAGCACUGUACACAUGCGCGCAAGGACUAGGGCCAUCUAGGGGCGGGGCAUCGCAUGACGCCACUCGGCUCGGCAGAGCGCUAGAGCCUAAACACGGAGUUUCUAGCAAUUUUUGCGGGUGAAUUGGACGUUUAUUUAGCCGGUAUUUUACAGCCACUUCACUAUGUCUGGCUUUUCCUCUCCCAUCCAGCUCCCAAGAGAAGAAGCGCCUUGACGGUAGAGAGCCCCUCGGUUAACGCCCCUCACCCCCGCCGCCUAGCGCUUGGAGUUAAAGUUCCUUUAACUCCCGGAGAUUUAAUAUAGCUUGUGCGCCUGCGCGCCAUCCACAGAACUACAUUUCCCAGAAGGGAGGAGAGGAAUCUCGGCUUCCAAUGCAAAGCCAAGCUGUCUCUGAGCAGGAGCAAUUAAGGAGCUGUUUUCGGCCCUUUUCUCUUCCUUGAGAGGGUGUUGCGGAGACAUGUACGCCACGUGGAAUUUAUUGACAUUUCAAGAUGUUGCUGUGGAAUUCACCCAGGAGGAAUGGAGUUAUUUGGAUCCUGGUCAGAAGGACAUGUACAGGGACGUGAUGCUGGAGAACUAUGAGAACUUUGUCUUCCUUGGGUUUCCAGUAACUAAACCAACUGUGAUUUCUCGUCUGGAGAGACACGAAGCCCCCUGGAUAUCAAGGGAAGAAGACCCCAGAUGCAUUUCUGAGGAUUCCCCUGUUGAGGAAAGAAAAUAUGAAACCAAGGAGUCAACUCCAAAACAAUGUAUUCCUACCAGAGAGAUAUCCAGAGAGAAACUUAUCAAGGAUGAUUUCUGGGAUACUAAAUUGGAAGAAACUUGGAAUUAUGACACUGGAUUAGAAAGUCAGAUAAACAACCUGGAAAGACAGUCCAUGAAGCCAAUAAUUACUUGCAGCAAAACUUCAUCUAGCAAAAUUUCCAUGGAGAAGAACCUUUGUAAGUUUAAUAAAUAUAAGAAAUUUUAUUGUCACCAUUCAGAACUUAAUGAUUACUAUAGAGUGUGCUGUCAAGGAAAACCUCAUAGAAUUGAUGAAUGCAGCAAAACCUUCGACAUCAAUUCAAGCCUUAGGGUACAUGGAGGAAUUCAGGCUGGAAUGAAAGCUCAUAAAUUUGGUGAAUGUGGUAAGGCUUCCAGCUACAAUUCACCCCUUGCUGUUCAUCAGAAAAAUCUGGAGGAAAAGCAUAUAAAACAAUGUAAUACAGGUGGGAAAACAUUUAGUCAGAGGAGAUAUGUUUGCCAACAUAAGAGAAUUCCUACUAAAGAGAAUCCCUAUGAAUGUAAUGAAUGUGGAAAAGCCUUCCUCGGGAAGACAAGCCUUUGUAUACAUGAGAGAGUUCAUACAGGAGAGAAACCACAUCAACGUAAUGAGUGUGAAAAAGCUUUUCAGGAUAAGCCAGGCCUUAAAGGACAUGAGAGAAUCCAUACUGGGCGGAAAUCCUAUAUAUGUAAUGAAUGUGGAAAAGCCUUCAGAGACAAGGCAUAUCUAGAUAUGCAUCAGGCAGUUCAUUCUGGUGAGAAGCCUUAUAAAUGUAAUGAAUGUGGAAAAGCCUUCAGAUUUAAAGGAAUCUUUUCUUCACAUAAGAAAAUGCAUGCUGGAGUGACACCCCAUAAAUGUAAUGUGUGUGGAAAAGUCUUUAUGAGGAAUGAUCGCCUUAAAAGGCAUGAGAGAACUCAUACUGGAGAGAAACCAUUUAAAUGUAAAAAAUGUGAGAAAGCUUUCACGAGUAAGAGAAGCCUUAAUCUACAUGAACUAAUUCAUACUGGGCAGAAGCCCUAUAAAUGUAAUGAAUGUGGAAAAGACUUCACUUGUAAGGAAAGCCUUGGUCUACAUAUGGCAAUUCAUACUGGGCAUAAGCCCUAUGAAUGUAAUGUAUGUGGAAAAUUCUUCAGACAGAGAGGAGGCCUUAUUUCACAUAAGAGAAUUCAUACUGGAGAGAAACCCUUUGAAUGUAAUGAAUGCGGAAAAGCCUUCAGGGAGAAAGGAAGCCUUAAUAGACAUAAGAUUAUUCAUACUGGGGAGAGACCUCACAAUUGUAAUGAAUGUGGAAAAACCUUCAACUAUAAGGGACAUCUGAAUAGACAUAAGAAAACUCAUACAAAAGUGAAACCAUAAAUGUAAUGAAUGUGGAAAAGCCUUCAAAUAUAUGGGAAACCUUAAUUUGUGUAAGAAUUAAUAUUGAAGAGAAAUGCUAAAAAUCCAAGGAAUAUGGAAAAACUUUUAAAUGAUAGAGAAACUUUAAAAGCCAUUAAUUCAUACUGGAGGAAGAUCCUUUGAAUGUACUCAUGUUGAAGCAGACUGUAAUCAAAACCCAAACUUCCAGUGUAAUAAAAUUAAGAAAACUUUCUUGCACUUCGCAAACUUAAGAAACAUCAGAUUAAUUCCUACUGGAGAGAAAUCUAAAUGUAAAGAAAGUGAGAAAGCUUUCAAUGAUCAGGAAAACUUAAUAAAUCCAGUAGAACCCAUACUGAACAGGAAUUUUUUUCAGUGCUAUUUAUUUUACAUGAAAAUAGCUUUAUGAGUUCCAGCAGCAGUAACAGAGUAGGCAGUUAUCCAGGAUUUAGCAGUGUCUAUGGGAUCAGAGGUUCUGGAAUAUCAUAUUCCAGAAGGCAAAGGACCUGGGGUUACAAUCAAAAAUUAACUACCCAGAUGGACUGAGCAUCUUCUUUGAAAAGAGGUGAUGGAGCUUCAGUGAAGGGGACUUUCAAUCAUUUCUAUUGAAAAAAGCAGAACUAAACAGAAAAUUUAAUCUGUAAUCACAGGAAUCAAGAGAAGCAUAGAAAGGUAAACAAGGUGUAAAUGUAUAUUAUUUAAAGAUUAAGCCAUUUAUAUCUCUAGAUGGGAAAACAAUACUUGUUCCUCUUGAGAACUGUUAUCUGUCACUGGGACUUACAAAAGGGGCAGCAUAUGGACUGAGGGUGUGUUUGUCAAUGGACUCUGAUGUGAUGACAUCAAAGAAAAAGACAUUAAAGUGUGGAAAAAGAUCUGUACUGGAAAAAGAGCAAAGGUGGGGUACAAUGGGACAACUAGAUCAAAUGAAGAGGUACAAAAGACCUAUUACAAUUGGGGGAAAGAAGAGAGGGAGAUGAGCUUGUCUGAAGCUUGAUCUCAUCAGUUUGGUUCUCAGAGGGAAUCAUUUAAUCAUUCAGUUAGGUAUAGAAAUUUAUCUAAUCCUCUAAAGAAUUAGGAGGAGAAAAGAAAAGAAAAAGGAGAAGCAGAAUAUAAAAGGGAGCAGAAAUACUAGGAGAACAGGUAAGAGAAGGGGGGAAGAGUUGACAGAAGAAAAGGUAGGGGGUAGAGUGGGUUAAAAAAAAUACUAGGGGAAGGGAGAGGUGUGAUAGGAGAUAAAGUAGUAGGUGGGUUAAAAAAAAAAUAGACUAAAGGACAAGUGGAAGAGGAGAGCCAAAGUACAUACUGGGGAGAAAAUAGGAUGAAGGGAAAUAAAAAGCUGGUAAUACUAACUGGGAAUGUGAAUGGGUUGAAUUCUCCCAUAAAAUGCAAGCAAAUAGAGUGCUUAAAAAGCAGGAACCUACAAUAUGUUGUUUACAACAAACACAUCUGAUAGAGAAAUACUUGCAGAUUAAAGGUAAAAGACUAGAACACAAUUUAUUAUUAUUCAGCUGAAAUGAAAAAAGCUGGGGUAGCACUUCUGAUCUCAGAUGAAGCAAAGAUAAAAAUAGAUCUUAUUAAAAGAGAUAAGGAAGGAAAGCACAUUUUGAUAAACAUUACUAUAAACCAUGAAGUAGUAACAAUAUUAAAUAUUUCUUAUUUCUUGAUUUGUGCCCCUUCUCCCUAAAAAAGGAUUUCAGCAUAUAUCCCAUUUACAACAUAACUUAUAAGUGGUCACCACUUGUAUUUUUGUUUAUUCAUUUCUGACUGUUAAUGACAUUAUUUGGAGUUUUCUUUGCAAAAAUAAUAGCCAUAUUUUCUCCAGCUUAUUUAAAAUUGAGAAACCUGAGGCAAGCUGGUUUAAGUGAUUUCCCUAAGAUCACACAGAUACUUAAUAUCUGAGUUAGAUUUGAACUCAUGAAGAUGAUUUCAAAGCUAGUGCUCUAUCCAUUGUAACAAUUAGCUACUCCAAAGAUGUGUAGGGGGAAGAGCAAUUUGAGCAACUUAUAUUUCUGGAGAACUCAGAUUUUACAAGAUAUUAUUCCUUACAUGAAGUCAGAGUCUUCCUUUUCAUUCCUACCACUUUGUUCUGGGACUCCUGAUUCUUCCUUCUGGAAAUAAGCAGAACAAUGGUGAUUUCUUCCUUUACAUGAUAGACCUUCAAGGACCAUCCUAGUCUCCUCUGAUUUUCUGGAUCCCAGCUUCCUUGAGCCAGUUCCCAUAUGAUGUCGCCUAAAGGGAUUCAUCCUGUCUAGAUACUGUGAAAUCAGAUACAAACUCUUCUGCUUGGCCCAUAAAGAAUGUUGAACCAACCCCGCUCCCCAGGCUUGUUGGUCAUUAUUUUUCUUUGUGAGCUCCAUGUCCAGACAGAAUGGCCUUCUUGCUUCCACAUAGGAUACUCCACAGUGCUUGAAAGGCAUUCAUUCCUCAGAGGGUCCACUCAACAGUUGCCUUCAAGGGUCUAUGUUCCAAGUCAGACAAAUUACACAGUGCCCAAUAAAGCCCUUGAGUAGUACAAAUCUCCUGGUUAAGGUCCCAGCAAAUUCGAAUCUUAGAUGUUAUGAAAUAAAAAAUGAAAACUUCAGAUCUUUUGAGCACCAGAAAGCAGAGUAAAAACAAAAAGAACCCACCAAUCAUCUUCAAAGACCCUCAGAAAAAACGGGUUGUCAGCCCAAAUUCAGCAUAUCCAUAUCAAAGAAAUCUCUUGGAAGCAUCCAGAAGGAUGUAAAUCAAAGACCAAGGAACCAGUCAAAUUUGCACAAGGCCUUGCAGCUUCUACUAGAAACCAGAGAUAUUAGAAUACAGUAUGCCAAAAAGCAAAAGACCUGAUCCUUCAACCAAUUUUUGUGAAAAAUUGGACAUAAUCCUAUGGUUACAAUGUUGAUCUUAAAGGAUCUUGAGCAUUUUGAGUAAGAAAUUUGAAGUAUAGAACCAGGAAUCCACAGGACUUUAAAAAGUCCACUUUAUUUGAGCAAAGAGACAGGUAAUGCUAAUAUUGUAAUGGGGAGAGAAGAAACAAAUGUCUCAUCAGAACCUGCAAAUCUUUAAAUAAUGGAGUUACAAGUUCAUGAGAAUUAAAGCUAUUCUCCAGUUGAUAAAUGGUCAAAGGAUAUGAACAGGCAGUUCUCAGAUAAAGAAAUUGAAAUCGUUUCUAGUCAUGUGAAACAGUGCUCUAAAUCAUUGAUCAGAGAAAUGCAAAUUAACAUAACUGAGGUACAACUACUCACUUUUCUGAUUGGCUAAGAUGACAGGAAAAGAAAAUGAUGAUUUGGGAUUUGGGGAAACGGGGACACUAAUACCUUGUUGGUGGAGUUGUGAACUGAUCCAACCAUUCUGGAGAGCAAUAUGGAAUUGUGCCCAAAGGGCUAUCAAACUAUAUAUACCCUUUGACCUAGUAGUGUUUCUACUGGGUCUGUGUCCCAAAGAGAUUGCCCUCCAAUUUGAUCUUUCUUGGGGAGAUGUUAAUAUUAAUCUGCUCUCGAUGUACAGAGGAAGCCACAGAAAUCAGCUUGGGUCCCCAAACUUCCCAGAUUCAGCUGUUAGAAGGAGUCUUUAAUAAAAGGGACUCAACAGCAGCAGAGCAGGAAGACCACAAAGUUAAAAGGAGAAAUGGAGAACAGUACCAAAUUUUAGCUGCUGCUGAAUCUGGGAACCAUAGAGUUUGUGCUUCAGGUGUAAUGGACAGGGCCACCAGGCUCUCAAAUGUCCUUAAAAGGGAAACUUCUGAGGUUCCCCCCCCCCAGUCCCUGCCCCAAGAGCAACCAGGAGGGGUACUGGAGGAGGGACUGCCUGCAGGGGACAACCUGCCCCCUGCCCUCCAGCAGGAGUUUGGGGUUUGACCAGGAUCCCUCUUGCUCUACCAUGACAUCAACAUUGGAACCCUGGGUAUUCUCAGAUGUGGGCGGUGAGACCACUGAAUUUCUUUUUGCUAUGGUGGCCUCUCUGUCUUGCUUCAGCAGUCUAGUCCUUCCCCCCGCCAUAGAAUGGGAAUUGAAGAGAAAUAAGAAGUCUUUUGAGACUUCCCCUCUGCCUUACCAGUUUGGUGACUUGUUAUUUAAACGCUCUUAUUAUUCUAUCCUCCUCCCUUAUUGAGUCGUGAUUUAAUGGUGAAAUUGGGGACCCAAUUUUCUCUUCUCGGACCGCCAGGCUAUCCCUUGGUGCUUCUUUCAAAGUUCUCCCAAAUUCCCUCUGAAUUCUGGGAAAAAAUAGAUUCCUCUGUCUGGGACCAAGGAAUCCUGGGUGAGCCACUCGCCACCCCAGCCUUAGUCAGGUUGGUGGAUCCCAGUGUAUCCCCCAUAAACAUCAAAACCCAAGAAAGGCAAAGGCUGGGGAAGAAUUGCAACCCCUGAUUGAGAAAUUCUUGAGCACAAACUUUUAGCAUUGGCUAAAGAUUUAAGGGAUUCAGAGUGCUUUAACAGCAGUCUCAUCCACUAUAUAGAUGAUAUUUUGAUCUCGAGCCCCACCUGAGAGGCUUCCUUAGAUGGUGCUGUAAAAACUCUUAAUUUUCUGGCCUUGAGGGGCUACAGCAUCUCCUUAUCCACAUUGCCUGCCAGGCUGUCAAAUAUUUGGGCCAUAACCUAACCCCCAUUCAAGGUCCUGACAACCUUCCCUUUGAAUGGGGCCCAGGUCAGCACUGAGGCUUUUAAGACCCUAAAAGCCAAACUGACUUCUGGCCCUACCUACUUCCAAAAAGCCUUUCACUCUGUAUGUAGAUGAAAAGUGGGGCCAGCCCCUGGAGUCUUAACCUGAUCCCAGCCAGUGGCCUACUUCUUAAAGAAACUGGAUUCAGUUUCCCUAGGAUGGCCCUCUUGCCUUAGAGCAGUGGCUGCUACCACUCUAAUUGAACAAGCCUCAAAAGUCACCCCAGGGCAGCCUUUGGGUGUUUUCACCCUCCACUGGGUUCGGAGCAUUCUAGAAGCCAGAGAGCAUCAGUGGCUACUAGUGGGAUGCUCCCAGGCUCUCCUGCUAGAUACUCUGAACCUGACUCUCCGGUAGUGUCACACCUUAACUCCGACACCCUGCUCCUUGACAGCACUCGGUCGGGAGACAGCAUUCGGAAGUGAGGAAGCUUUACAUUCUGUCUAAUCCAAGCAGUUCAUCUUGAGGGACAUUCCUCUUGACAACCCAGAUGGUGAAUGCUUUACAGAUGGGUCGAGUUUUCUUAAAAAUGGGGAAAAAAAGGCUGGAUAUUCUGUGGUGACCCUCAAUGGCACCCUGAAAGCUGAGCCACUGCCCCUUGGACUUUUGCCCAGAACUCAUUGCCCUGAGCAGAGCUUUGGAACUGGGGAAGGGAAUGAGAGGGAACAUCUACACUGACUCUAAAUGCGCUUUUCAUAUUUUUCGUGCUCAUGGCGCUGUAAAGAAAGAAAGGGGACUUUUGACAGCAAAGAACUCUCCUAUUAAAUAUGCAGGAGAAAUUCUACAGCUACUACAAGCUGUCGGCAAACCCAGGGAGGUUUCAGUCAUAUUUGGUGAAGGACACAGGAAGGGAGAUUUGCUUCAGGCCAAGGGGAAGAGGUUUGGAGAUUCAGCUGCUGAAGCUGCUGCCCACUCACCCCUGACUGUGGCACCUUUAAUCCCCCAGCUCCCUGAUUCUUACACCCCUUCAUGUAGCGCACAGGGACAAGCUUUGCAGAGGAAACGAAGAACAUCCUUUCUCCUUCUGGCUGGUUUCAAACACCCUCAAGACAUCUUUUGAUCUCAGAGGCAAGUCACUGGAAACUUCUUUUUGAUCUUCAUUAGGCUACACACCUGGGGAGAAAUGCUCUUCAAUCCAUUGUGAAAUGCAUUUUCACUGGUCACAAGCUGAGAAAAGUGAUCAGACAUGUCUGCCUGUACUGCCCAAUUUGUGCCCAAGUAAAUUCUGGAGGAAUUGUUAAACUCCCCCUCUCCUGAAGCCUUUUCAGAGAAGGGGCACACGCCUAGGGGAGAUUGGCAAAUAGACUUCACGCGUAUGUUCCCUUGCAGAAGUUCCAAGUUGCUUCUGGUCUUGUUUGACACAUUCAUUAACUGGAACCCCUGCUCUGGAGAAAGUUGUCCUUCCUCUCACUAUAAUGUCCUUCCUUUCACUCCAAGGAUGAUAAUUUUGCUCCUAGCAUUUUCUUGAUGUCUUUCUAUGGCCCCUGACAGCAGUUAACUCCUUCUUAGCCUUUCAGCUGGGGCUCCGUGGGCAGUGGGGGCGUUCAGGAUUGUUGAGUGGGCCUUCAACAUCCUCAGGGCACCCCACAGAUGGGAUGCAUUAUUUGCAAAGGCCCCAUUCCCAAACAUCACCAUCUCCACCCUAGAUGGCACCCCACUUUUAAUCUGCUCCUGAGAUUUAUUUCCUCCAGGCUCCAAGCUAUGAACUUCCAGCUACUCACUCAGUCUGAAGAUCAUGGAACAAGUGACUGGGACACUCAACAUCCCCUAGAUGUUGCUGCUGCUGCCAUCUUCAGAUCUCACACUUCCCCUCCCAGCCUGAACCCGCAUUUAGCUUAGGGACAGCUCUACAACUUUGGUCAGCUUGAAGUAGCUCCAGAAAAUGAGAUCUUCUUCCCUUUGCCUCAAAUGAAUUUGGGGGUAACAGCUUGAAGGGGGGAUGAUAUAAUAGGAUUCUGUGUCCCCCUGAUGUUUUGGGGGAUGGGCAUGGGUUGCAAAAACCCUAAAUCUCAAUCCCUCCCAGUCUCUGGGAGCAUCCCCACUCUCCUACCAAGCUCCCACAGGAAAUUCCCACCCCCAAUUGAUCUGGAAAUCACUGGUCUGGGAAAUAAUCAUCACUCUUAUUGAUUUGGAAAUUAGCCUCUAAUGAACCCAAGCACCAAACCAUAAAAAGUUAAAAAAAAAAAAAUCAAGACUCUGUAUCCCAAACUUCACUAUCUUCCUAAUCAGGAAGUGGCCCAUUGAGAGAGCUGUUCAGUGAAAAUAAACCCAUUUUGCCAAAAACCUCACUUGCAGACUGCAAAUUCUUUCACAAGACCUGUGACACCAGCCUGGGACCGCCAUUGCUGUUAGGGUAUCUCACCCCUCAACAGAUUUAUGCUAUUUAAUUAUGUUAUGGCAAUUUUUUUUUAUUUCUCAAAUUUUAAUUCAGGAAUAAGACAAGCAAUCAUAAUUUUAAGAAAAAAAAUAGAACAUCAUUGAAUUGUUUUGUAAAAACACUCCCCUCCAAAAAAAGAACAGAAGGAAGAAUAGAGUUGACCCCAAAAAAGGGGGCAGAAUUAUUCAUGCUUCUUUUGCAAGCUGUGUGAAGUGAAGAUGGAUAGUUUUGCAGAGAAUCCACUUUCUGUAUUCUGCUUCAGGUAUGGAAAUGCUCUUCUUUUAUUAUUUCAGUUCAAGAUAAAAAAACUUAGAACACACACAGAUACCUAUCACAGACCCUACUGUCUCCAAUAAUACAGCAUGUGCAAAACAGUAAAGAUCAACUGGGAGGUGAUAUUAGCAAGUAAAUAAAACUGGAGUUUUCCCUUCAUGUUUAUUUCUGAGGAAAUAGGAAGCAAGGGAAAGUGAGAAAGGGCAUUCCAGUCCCAUAGGAUAGUAAGAGAAAAGGCCAGAGCAUCAGAAGCCUCAUGAUGAGAUACAGGCAGAGGGACAUUGUCACUAGCUCAUGGGGCACUUGGGAAGAAGUAAAAUUUAAAGAAAUUGGAGAGGGAGAACAUAGUCAAAUUAGGAUUGGCUAUCAAGGUCAAUCAGAGGAUUUUCUAUAUUAGGUUCUGGAGGUAACAGAGAGUGACAGGAUUUUCUUGAGCAGGGGGGUAAUAUCUUAUAACCUGUACUCUCCAAUGAUCCAUUUAACAGCUGAGUGCAGCAUUGGCUGAAGUGGGGAGAGAGCUGGUGCAUAGAAACUGAUCAAAUAACAAUGGCAAGAGUCCAAUUGUGAGCAAAAGAGGAACACCUGACAAAAGGUGGUGACUUUCUGAAUGGAGCAAAGGCGAUAAUGGAUUUCAUUCUUCAGAAGAAGAUACUACAGUACAGAAGAGAAGAAUAAACACCUCCCCUCCAACAACUCAAGGGAUGCAUUUUCCUCAGGAUACCUUGUGGACCAAAAGUCUCUGAAUUCUCUCCAUCUUCAGUUCAUUUAACCUGGGCUCUUAUCUGUAUUUAAAUUCUUUUGUUUCCAAGCCUUAGCUGAGACUGCUUUUGGAUAGAGCAUAGAUCUUGCCCAUCUUUAUGUACAUCUUGGACAUACAGGUGUCUAAGUUGAAAAGGAAAAAAAGAGCAAGCUGGAUUACCUUCAGGAAAUUACAGAACUCCUUGGAUGACCCCCAAGCUUCCUGGGAAAGUAAUGGACUGUGUUUUUAAUAUUGGUCACUCUAUUCCUGACAGAUGUGGAAACUGCAUCAGACCAUAUCCUGAUAGGGAAAUCCAGAAUUCAGUUCUUUGUUCAGCCUAGCUUGGCAAAGGGAAACAGUCUGGGAGGUCUGGGGACAUGAGGAACAGAUUAGGCUGAGAGUAUGAAUGCUGCAUGCAGACACACUAGGACACAGGGAGAGGCUUGUACCAGGGCAAGAGAAGGUAGUAUGUCAGCGGGAGAAGGAAUGCAACAAUCUCUAAAAAAACAUUUAAAAUUAAUGUCACACAGAGCACAAUUUAGAGGCCCACAGUAGAUGGAACAGGCUCUGAUGAAAAAUGUUUCUCAACACUGAAGAACGGGAUUAAAAGAUGUCAUUGGCAAUUAUGUGAUGAGAAGGGAAAACAGGCUGGUCCUGUGACAAACCCCAGAGAUAACAAGUGGACAGCCAGAAUGUUUCACCAGCAUCCUGGAGAUAACAGGGAAAAGUGAGAGAAACCUCCAUUGAAUCGGGUGGACAUGGCCAGAAAUCACACACAGGGUGGACAGGUAUUGUGAUUGCCCUUGCUGAUGGGAACAUCUAAAUCUAUGGUAUUCAUCCAUUGCAGCAUUCUCCACUUCGCUUUUCUGUAAGUAUUUGUUCAAUUGAAUUGAUGGGGAUUCCCUGUCCUUCUCUCCAUCCCUUUUCAUCUUAACGUGACUCCCAUCUUAUCAUCCCUAACACAGUUCAAUUAAAUGUCUCCAUUUUCUAACAUGGUGCAGGGAGACUUUUCAGGUUUCACAGCCGAACAACAAUGAAGUUAGCACAACAGCUCUGAAGACUUUCAGUUUGGUAGUCAGGCUACUUUCCCAUCCUUUUCUUCUGGGCUUCCCAAACACUGAACACUGAUUCGUGCAUCAACCUUUUCAUGUAGUGUACAUCCCUUUAUAGUGUACUGCCAAGGUAAGUGGACUCAUCCACAGUAUUUCAUAUUUCUCCCAUUGUUGUAACCUAAUGGUUCCAAGGAUGCAUGGUGUAGUGCUGGCUGAUCCAGAGCCUCUGUUUUCUUAGUAUAUUCAGGCCAAACCUCUACACACAACAGAGAAAUGAUCCAUAUUAUAUUGUGUCUCAACCUCAGACGUCCCACUGAGUGCAUAUAGAAGAACUAAAGCAACACAAAGGAAAUCUGAGAUGUAAAAAUCCAGGGACGUAUCCAUCCCACAUGGUCAAAGGGACGAUGUGUGUGGCAGACCCUUUUGAGCUCAGUUUGGGCUGAUCAGGCAGUCAUGCUGUACCCUGACCUUGACCCCUAAUGUCUUUGGUCCUUUUCAAGUACAAAGAAGAAAAACUCAUUCUUUCACAAAAUCCUCCACUCUACAAACAUUCCAUAUGCUAGGAUCUUCCUGUAGACCUUUUAAAAUUGGAGAUGUGCCAAUAAACUUGAUGGGCCUAUAUGUUAUCACUAGCUCCCUUUUCAUUUUGUGGUCAUACAUCUUGUUGAAGAUUUAUUUUAUCAGAUUUUACCUGAGCCUUCUUCAUACUUAGUUAGUUUCACUCCACUCUCAUCAUACCCUACAGAAAUUAGGAUAAUGCAACUUGCUAGAGAAAAUGUUAAUGAGUUUUGUAGAAGAAUUAUACUGAAACUACACAAGGAUGCUCCUUCAGAGGAGAUCAUAAGAUGCUGUGCCACAGUGGGCAAAAAUGCCUUUUAUAGCCAGAUUAUGAUGCAGACUUCCCAAGAUCCGAACAUGGGAAGACAGGGUCCCUUUUGGCAAGGGACUUCCAGAGAGACUCGUCAAUGCUUUCAUUGUGGUAAAGUAAGGCAUCUGAAAGCUCAAUGUUGGCAUAGAGACAGAAUGAGAAAACAGGAUGGGAAAAUAAGACCCCAAACCCCAUGUCCAAAAUGCAACAGAGGCUUCCAUGGAGCCUCAGAAUGUAGACUAUUCAGGGAAACAGAAUGAGGAACCCAGCCCCAGGGCCCAAGGCAAAAAACACUUGGGACAUGAUGGCAGCCGAUGCUACACCCAGAGUGCCUAGAAGUUCAGUACCCAGACAUGACCAAUCAGCCAGGAAGCAACCUGAUGGGAGAAAGGGAUUACAAUUGGGGAGAAUAGAGUUGUAUGCAGCUGGGACAACUGAGAUACUCCCUGGAGAAGUGAAAUCUGUUCCUCUCCAAUCUAUGGACCCUUGCCUCCAGGCAAGUAGGCUUGACCAUUUCACUUCCUGAGAGUACGUGCAAAACAGUGUCCAUCCACACACUGUUGUGGGAAAAUGGGGAAUGUGUAGAUAAUAUCCCAGUCACUAAUACAGGUAGACAAUGUGUGACUUAUCAACCAAGAGAAGUAAUGGCAUCAGGUUUACUCAUACAGACUCCUAAUAAGCAAUCUGGUGAUAGUGGUCCCCAUUCUGGCAGCAGAAUCCAGGAAUAUUCUGGACAGCAGCUGUGACAACUGACCGACCUAUGCCCACUAUCUAUAUAAAUGGCAUACCAUUAGAAGGAUCGGUAGACACAGGUGUAAAUCAUACAGUCAUUUGAGGGGCCAGCUGGCCCAGUCACUGGCCAAAGACUAAGGCAGACACCUACAUGUCUAGCAUAGGAGGAUCAAUAGUAGCUGAAGUUAGUGCUAUCUCUUUGAGAUGGAUAUUUGAAGGUGAAACAGAAAUUUUUACUACUUUUGUGGUAGAAAAAAAUCCCCAUCAAUCUGUGGGGAAGAGAUAUUUUACAACAGUUAAAAUUACAAAUGAGUACUUUGGUUUUUUAGUAAGGGCUACUGUUGAAGGUCUGCCAACAGUCUCACCUGUUCCCAUUCAAUGGAGAACUGAUACACCAGUGUGGAUAGAACAGUGGCCCUUAGCUAGCAAUAAACUUCAGGCUUUAUUAGAUGUAGUAUAGGAGCAGCUUGACCAAGGACACUUACAACCUUCCCUAAGUCCUUAGAAUCCCCCUGUAUUUGUUGUAACUGAAAAAUGGAGGAUGUUGACUGAUUUAAGAAAGAUAAAUGAACAGAUGGAAACUAUGGGAACUCUUCAGCCUGGACUUCCAUCUUUUACUCAAUUGCCUAGAGAAUGGCCUCUUUGGGUUAUAGGCAUUAAGGAUUGCUUCUAUUCUAUCACUCUAGAUAAGAAGGAUAUGAAAAGGUUUGCCUUCUCAGUGCCCAACGUUAACUUAGCUGAGCCUUAUAAAAGAUAUGAAUGGACCGUUUUGCCACAGGAAAUGAAAAAACAGCCAGACUAUGGUCAAAUGCAUGUGGCUGCUGUUCUUACUCCAGUAAGAAAAGCAUUUCCAAAAGUUAUGUUAUUACAUUACAUGGAUGAUAUAUUGGUAUGUGAACUUGAGGAGCAAAUGUUAGAAGCAUGUCAACAAAAGAUCAUAGAAACACUAAGGAACUAAAAAAUUGCAUAUAGCUCCAGAAAAAAAUUCAAAGGCAUGCUGCUUUUCAAUAUUUAGGAUAUGAAGUAUAUUCUAAGGUGCUUACAGGACAAAAACUUUCCUUAAGAACAGAGAAGCUAAACACCUUAAAUGACUUUCAGAAAUUGAUAGGAGAUAUCCAAUGGAUGCGUCCAAUGUUAGGCUUACUACCUAUCAAUUGCAACCAUUAUAUGACAUUUUAAGGGGAGACAGUGCUUUAAAUUCACCAUGUCAUCUUACAAAAGAAGCUCAAGAGCCUUUGAAAGAAGUUGAACUGGCUUUAUCCAAUGUGGUUGAAAGAGUCACUCAAAAACCCUUGGAAAUAUCAGUGUUUGUUACAUAAGAGGCACUCCUUCAUCAAGGAGACAUUGUGAUAGAGUGGGUGAACCUCCCAGCACAACCAGAACAAAGCUUUACUCCUUACCCAGUGCUUGUGGCUAGAAUUUUAUUAAAGACCAUUAAGCGAGCAGUACAAUUAUCUGGGAGAAGACUUGACAAGAUAUACACCUUUUAUACCAAUGCACAAAUCAAUCUAUGCUGUGAAACCAUCCCAGAGUGGCAAGUUUUAUUGGCCAUGGUUCCAAAUUUUACACAUGGGUCUCCAUUAAAGAUAACCAGACUAUUACAUAAUUGGUGAUGGAUUCUUGAAGAAAAGGUUUCUAAAGUUCCUCUUAAAGGACCAAGUAUCUUUACAGAUGCAUCCAAGCAUAGCAUUUAUACUGUAUACUCUCGUGACUUCACUAUAAAGAGAGUAGUCAGAACUCCUUUUCAGUCCAUUCAGCAGAAUGAAUGUAUGCAGUCAUGUUAGCUCUUACUAUCCAGGAGAUAUAAAUAUAAUAUCUGGUUCGGCCUAUUCAAUAGAUGUGGUACAAAGAAUUGCCAUAGCCCAUAUAAAAUUUGUAGCUUCUAAUAUAUAUCAGCUCUUUAAGGAACUUCAAGAGCAAGUGAGAAAGCAUCCAGGUAAGAUUUACAUCUUGCACAUCCACAUUCAUAGUGAACUUCUAGGUCCUAUUUUUGAUGGUAAUUCAAAGGCAAAUAGCCUUCUAACCAUGUUGACUAAUAUUCCUUUAUUUCAGGCAGUCCAAGAAUCUCAUUUUAAAUAUCAUCAAGCUGCUCGAGCUUUACGUUUAUAAUUUGGAAUAACAAGAGAGGAAGCUAGGAGCAUAGUUAAAGCCUGUAUUGCUUGCCUUCCUUUCCACACUCCUACACUGCCUCCGGGGAAGAACCCUCGUGGUUUAAGACCCAAUGAAAUUUGGCAAAUGGAUGUGACCCAUUAUAAAUCUUUUGGUCGUCUGUCUUUUAUCCAUGUUGUAGUAGACACUUUUUCAGGAUUUACUCUUGCAAUACCAGCAGCAAAAGAGACUGCCCGAGUGGUCACUGAAUUCCUUAUACAAGCAUUUGCAAUUAUGGGUGUGCCACAAGCAAUAAAAACAGAUAAUGGACCUGCAUAUACUUCUAAACUUACUUUUGUGCACAGUAUAAGAUUUUAGACCCACUGGCAUACCUUUUAAUCCUCAAGGACAGGCAAUAGUAGAGGGGAGAAACAGAGACAUCAAGACGCUCCUCCAAAAACAAAAUGGGGAGCCACAGGUAACUCUAGAGAACUUUUAAACUUAGCUCUUUAUACUAUUAAUUUUUUUUCAUUUUUGAUAAAGAUGCACUGGCUCCGGCAGACAGGUUUUAUAACCCAUGGGAAGAGCAGUGUCCAGUGUGAGUAGCUCCACUAUCUUUAGAUAAUCACCAGGUGAUAUGGACAGAUCCAGAAAGUGGUGAAUGGAAGGGACCAGAUAGAUUAACUGCUUGGGGCAGAGGGUUUGCUUGUAAUUCUACAGAUGGAGAAGGAAUCAGAUGGAUGCCAAUGAGCUGUAUUCGCCUUGUCCAUCGGAGAGAGACGGAGCAGACCCUUGAAACGAAGGAGAAAACCCAAGAAACAUUGGGUGGUUCCAUCACUGACUGUGCCCACCACUGAAAGAACAUGGCAGUUAUGGCAAUUACCUCAUGAGCAUCAAAAAUUGGCAAUAAGACUGUUGCAGGACUUUAAAACCAGCAGGAAUCAUUGGAUUCCCUGACACAUGAAGUACUGGACAAUAGACUGGUUUUGGACUAUCUCUUGGCUGAUGAAGGGGGUGUAUGUGUGAUUGUUAUUUCUAUACCUUCCUUUUAGGACUUAUGUACAUGUAUAUUCAUAUUGUUCGUUAUAUCACUAUGUUGAUUCAUGUUGUAUGUUACAUCACAACUAGCCUGAGUUAUAUUACAAUAUCCUUGUGUAAUACCUCCCAUGCUAAUGGAUUUAUGUAUACCUGUUUCAAUUUCAGCCUAGAGGAAAUCUGCUAACAAUAUCUGGUUUGACUCCCCAUUUCCCUUCCCUUUGGUGAUUUUCACCUUCCUUCCUGAGAAGUCAGGGAGGGUGUGACCACCUGUGUUCUAAAACAAAAGAAAGCGGGAGAUGUAGAGGGCAGAACUUUGGAGAAGUAUAUUUGAAAGGUGUUAACUCAGUGGAAUUGAUGAGACAAUCUAUUUAGUUUACAUAUACUUAGUACUUAGUUUAUCUAGUUUACAUAUAUUUAUCUUGUUUACAUAUACUUAGUACUUAGCAUAGUGAUAUAAUAGUUCUACAGUUGAUGUCAUUGUAAAAGUGAUGACUCAGGACAAAGUCAGCCACAGAUAUUCUAUCUUUGAUCAUCCUUUUGGUGGCUCUCCUGCCUCCUGCACUAAGAGAGACUGGCAGACUGGCAGAAUGCUGGAAGAGACUAGGUCAGACAGUCAGACUGUGAAUUAGACUGCUGGCAGGGACUAUGAGCCAGACUGACUGAGACUGUGGAGCAGACUGGUUCAGACUGGGAGACUAAAAGAGACAAUAAAGACUUUGGAUUUUAUUUCUAA